CCUACGGGAGGCAGCAGUGAGGAAUAUUGGACAAUGGGCGCAAGCCUGAUCCAGCCAUGCCGCGUGCAGGAAGACGGUCCUAUGGAUUGUAAACUGCUUUUAUACAGGAAGAAACACCUCUACGUGUAGAGACUUGACGGUACUGUAUGAAUAAGCAUCGGCUAACUCCGUGCCAGCAGCCGCGGUAAUACGGAGGAUGCAAGCGUUAUCCGGAAUCAUUGGGUUUAAAGGGUCCGUAGGCGGUUUAAUAAGUCAGUGGUGAAAGCCCAUCGCUCAACGAUGGAACGGCCAUUGAUACUGUUAAACUUGAAUUAUUAGGAAGUAACUAGAAUAUGUAGUGUAGCGGUGAAAUGCUUAGAGAUUACAUGGAAUACCAAUUGCGAAGGCAGGUUACUACUAAUAUAUUGACGCUGAUGGACGAAAGCGUGGGGGAGGACGACGAGAGUAGUAUACCUACGUAGUACGACGACCGUAACGAACGUAGGUAGUACUACGUACGUGUUCGGUAGACGAAUACUGAGUGGUCGUAGACGAAGUAGAGUAAGUUAAGUACCGACCGUAACGGGUAGGGUACGGUUACGUUCGUAGAAGUUAGUAACGUUACGAAGGAAGUUAGUUACGGACGUUGAGAGNGCGACGGACGACGACGAGGGAGGAGGAG
rnacentral:rRNA from 1 species